CAUAAUGUUACAUGGCAUCAGAAGCCCACGCCCAGGCCUAACAGCCAUAACAUUAUGGAUUUAUCCUCUACCUCUACAGAUAUGUACUCUUCAACCCCAACCACUAGCACACAAAUAGCUCCAAUGCCCGUUUUGCUUUGUCUUCCCAACGCUUCAAUUUUCUUUCCAUUAAGCUGACCUCCAGUAAUUUUCUUCUCUAGUUGGCGCAUUUUACGCCACUGCUUCAUAAUCACAACUUAGCCAAUCAUGUAGUUAGACCACCCUCUGUUCUUUCACAGACCUUUGAUGAUGGAACACCAAACCCGAAAUACACUCAUUGGUUUUGCUAAGAACAAAUGAUCUUGAGUUAGCUAGUUUGUUCCAUCUCUGAGAUAAUCCUACCCAAAAUUAUUGGCCACCAUGCGGCGAGGGAGCCAUAGCAAAAACUUGCUACUAUCUAUUCGUCAGGAUCACACACGCAAGUUCAAUAACUGCGCAAGCUGCUCAAGCAUCUGAGCAAAGGUAAUGACACCAUAGACGUGUACAUGUAGCAUUCAAAAUACAUAAGCGAUCAACUUGUGGCGUUACAAUGUUCGGUGAGUGAAGAGGCACUAGUAAGCGAUGUCUUGGAGGGUCUUGGAACAAUUUAUAGGCCCUUUACAAGAGCUAUCGAAGCUUGCAAUGCUCCUUUGUCAUUCGAUUAUUUGUAUGCUCUCCUUCUUAGUGAGGAAAAUCAAUUGAAGAUGGAAAUAAUUUCCAUAGAUACUUCUGUUCAGCCAAUGAUGCAAGUGGCCCAAAAGUCCACCUAUAAUCAGGGCCAAGGACCUCCACGCAAUGGAAAAGGACGGUGCAAUUACAAUUUAACAAAUCAAUAGAAAAAUAAUGGCUCAAUUAUUUGUCACAACUGCCAUUGCCAUAGCCACAUUACCAGACAAUGUCCAUCCCCUAAAUCCACCUUCACCAACGCCCAAUCCCAACCAAUAACAAACUUUACAUCCAUGGGUAGCGGUCAAAUGCAAAAUUGGACAAUAGAAUUAGGGGCUAAUUACCAUCUCACAGCUGAUCAUGGAAAUAUACAACGUUCAACACCUUGCAUUGGCAAUAACAAUAUUACUAUAUGUAAUGGUAAAACAAUUCCUAUAUCUCAUCACGGUUCCUCUUCUAUGUUUGCUGAUAAUGUUCCUUUUCUUGUUAAUAAUAGUUUGUGU
rnacentral:misc_RNA from 1 species